CCUGCUGGGCUUUAACUGACGCUGAGGCACGAAAGCGUGGGUAGCAAACAGGAUUAGAUACCCUGGUAGUCCACGCUGUAAACGAUGAUUACUAGGUGUGGGGGGACUGACCCCUUCCGUGCCGGAGUUAACACAAUAAGUAAUCCACCUGGGGAGUACGGCCGCAAGGUUGAAACUCAAAGGAAUUGACGGGGGCCCGCACAAGCAGUGGAGUAUGUGGUUUAAUUCGAAGCAACGCGAAGAACCUUACCAGGUCUUGACAUCCAACUAACGAGAUAGAGAUAUGUCAGGUGCCCUUCGGGGAAAGUUGAGACAGGUGGUGCAUGGUUGUCGUCAGCUCGUGUCGUGAGAUGUUGGGUUAAGUCCCGCAACGAGCGCAACCCUUGCUAUUAGUUGCUACGCAAGAGCACUCUAAUAGGACUGCCGUUGACAAAACGGAGGAAGGUGGGGACGACGUCAAAUCAUCAUGCCCCUUAUGACCUGGGCUACACACGUACUACAAUGGCCAUCAACAGAGGGAAGCAAAACAGCGAUGUGGAGCAAACCCCUAAAAAUGGUCUCAGUUCAGAUUGCAGGCUGCAACCCGCCUGCAUGAAGUCGG
rnacentral:rRNA from 1 species